rnacentral:rRNA from 1 species
CGGGAGGCAGCAGUGGGGAAUCUUGCGCAAUGGGCGAAAGCCUGACGCAGCCAUGCCGCGUGAAUGAUGAAGGUCUUAGGAUUGUAAAAUUCUUUCACCGGGGACGAUAAUGACGGUACCCGGAGAAGAAGCCCCGGCUAACUUCGUGCCAGCAGCCGCGGUAAUACGAAGGGGGCUAGCGUUGCUCGGAAUUACUGGGCGUAAAGGGCGCGUAGGCGGAUCGUUAAGUCAGAGGUGAAAUCCCAGGGCUCAACCCUGGAACUGCCUUUGAUACUGGCGAUCUUGAGUAUGAGAGAGGUAUGUGGAACUCCGAGUGUAGAGGUGAAAUUCGUAGAUAUUCGGAAGAACACCAGUGGCGAAGGCGACAUACUGGCUCAUUACUGACGCUGAGGCGCGAAAGCGUGGGGAGCAAACAGGAUUAGAUACCCUGGUAGUCCACGCCGUAAACGAUGAUUGCUAGUUGUCGGGCUGCAUGCAGUUCGGUGACGCAGCUAACGCAUUAAGCAAUCCGCCUGGGGAGUACGGUCGCAAGAUUAAAACUCAAAGGAAUUGACGGGGGCC